CUCGUAGGCGGCCAGCUAAGUCAGACGUGAAAUCCCUCGGCUUAACCGGGGAACUGCGUCUGAUACUGGAUGGCUCGAGUUUGGGAGAGGGAUGCGGAAUUCCAGGUGUAGCGGUGAAAUGCGUAGAUAUCUGGAGGAACACCGGUGGCGAAGGCGGCAUCCUGGACCAACACUGACGCUGAGGAGCGAAAGCCAGGGGAGCAAACG
rnacentral:rRNA from 1 species